rnacentral:rRNA from 1 species
AUUGAACGCUGGCGGCAGGCUUUACACAUGCAAGUCGAACGGUAACAGGCCGCAAGGUUCUGACUAGUGGCGACCGGGUGAGUAAUGCAUCGGAACGUGCCCAGUCCUACUUGUUCACUACUCGAAAGGUUAGCUAAUAUCGCCUACUAUCUCUUGCUGAAAACGGGUGACCGUAAGGCAUCUCCCGAUUUUAGCGGCCGAUGUCAGAUUAGGUAGUUGGAGGGGUAAAGGCUCACCAAGCCAACGAUCUGUAGCUGGUCUGAGAGGACGACCAGCCACACUGGGACUGAGACACGGUCCAGACUCCUACGGGAGGCAGCAGUGGGGAAUUUUGGACAAUGGGCGCAAGCCUGAUCCAGCAAUGCCGCGUGCAGGAAGAAGGCCUUCGGGUUGUAAACUGCUUUUGUACGGAAAGAAAAGGAUCUGGUUAAUACCCGGCUGUAAUGACGGUACCGAAAGAAUAAGCACCGGCUAACUACGUG